CACACACACACACACACACACACACACACACACACACACACACACACACACACACACACACACACACACACACACACACGGAGCCCACCAACUGUCACCAACACAGACACAACCAUCCUGUCCCAGCAGCUCUAGCUUGUUAAUUCCCCUCCCCCUCCCCUCAUCUCUGCCGCCAGCAGUCACGGCAUAUUAGCCGGCCGACCCUGCACCCCUCCCUGCUCCGACUCACACACCACCACCACCGCCACAACCACCUCCUCUCCCUCCCCAGCUCUUCUCACUCCUACAGGGGGGAGAGAAGAAAACCGUCCGCCACCACUGUUUCAACUCCGACUUUAUCCUCGCUGUUAACACAUUUCGUAGAGAACCUCUCACGCCUCCCCCAUGCCCCCCCCCAACCACCAUGCCCCCCACCCCCAGGGGGAAGCCACAGCUCCAGGAGUGGUCCCUCCACACACCGAUGACCAAAACGCGCAUCUUCCCUUCUCGCUGCGCUGCUGCUGUGUCCCAGGCUCACCGCCUACACUAAUUUCAGGUCUCCUCAAAUAGUCUCCGAGGAGCUGGCAGUGAUUGCAUGCUUCGGUCCCCGGGGAUGAAUUGUUUGCGUUUUGUUUUAUUUUAUUUUGAGGACAUGACACUGGCCUCCAGUAAGUCUCUCUGUCUUCUCUUCAAUCUUUUUUUCUUUUUUGUUUCGCGGUCCGGUGAAAUUAUGUUUUGCUGUGAAGGAAUACUGGGUCACACUGUGGAGCAGCGAUCAGACUGUCUGCACUGUGUGGCCUCAUUCAAUGUCGUUGUUGUUGUUAUUGUUUUGUUUUUCAAACGGGACCACCACCACUACUAGGGUGUGGGGAGGACCCCCCCCCUCCCGGGGUUCGAUCCUUGCGCCAAACAUCUGACAUUCCUUUCAAUUUCCUUUUAAGUUAGGCUCUCCGACGAUUUCAACCUCUGUUCAGGAGAUUCUGUUACGCAAAGGUAAACUAGUGACCCGUCGACUCUGUACCCGGUCUGAACAUAGAACACUAGUCCGAGUUAAAGAGUCCCCUUUUUAUUUCAAAGAGUCCCAAAGUGACUGACAUGAUAUUUUAGUAAAAGGAUAUAUGAAACACUAUGAAAUGGUCUUGUAAUGCACUGACUGAGCUGGAGUAGUCACCCUUGGAGAAGCCUUGGCCCUAGCAGCCUGGGGCUCCCCCCACACCCUCGUCUGAAAGAUUUUAACGUUGACCUGUAGAGCUUAAGAUCACCCAUAUCUUUUAAUGCUGGCUUCUUCCCCCCAUGUUAAUCUGUUGUUUUUAGAAAAAGUAAAAAAAGCGGUUAAAACUGGUUCCAGGGACACUGAUGGAUUCCAUGUUGUAAGUUAGGGGAGGAAGAUUUCUGAUUAUUAUUUCUGUUUUUUAUUUUGUAUCCACUGGUUUUAGAACUACUGUAUAUGUAUUACAUUGCACUAUUGUAAACAAACUGCAGCACCUACCACUGUAACUACUUGUUUGUCAUUUCUGCUUUUGUAAUUUUUCACAAAGUUGACCAAAAUUUGUAUUUUACCAAAUCAGGAUUUUUUUUAUUUAUUCAGUCAUUUUUACUGCUUUCUAUUAAACUUCUCUACUUUAGAUAAUGGCUCUUAAUUGUUUUCCUGGGGUUUCUCCUGCAUCAACCUUAUUGGAUCAUAUUUGUGGGAUUUUAUUGGUUUACAGACCAUAUGCUGCCAAUGUU
ensembl:lncRNA